rnacentral:rRNA from 1 species
AUGAUUAAAGGUAUUCCGGUAGACGAUGGGGAUGCGUUCCAUUAGAUAGUAGGCGGGGUAACGGCCCACCUAGUCUUCGAUGGAUAGGGGUUCUGAGAGGAAGGUCCCCCACAUUGGAACUGAGACACGGUCCAAACUCCUACGGGAGGCAGCAGUGAGGAAUAUUGGUCAAUGGGCGAGAGCCUGAACCAGCCAAGUAGCGUGAAGGAUGACUGCCCUAUGGGUUGUAAACUUCUUUUAUAAAGGAAUAAAGUCGGGUAUGUAUACCCGUUUGCAUGUACUUUAUGAAUAAGGAUCGGCUAACUCCGUGCCAGCAGCCGCGGUAAUACGGAGGAUCCGAGCGUUAUCCGGAUUUAUUGGGUUUAAAGGGAGCGUAGAUGGAUGUUUAAGUCAGUUGUGAAAGUUUGCGGCUCAACCGUAAAAUUNGCAGUUGAUACUGGAUAUCUUGAGUGCAGUUGAGGCAGGCGGAAUUCGUGGUGUAGCGGUGAAAUGCUUAGAUAUCACGAAGAACUCCGAUUGCGAAGGCAGCCUGCUAAGCUGCAACUGACUAUUGAGGCUCGAAAGUGUGGGUAUCAAACUAGGAUUAGAUACCCUGGUAGUCCACACGGUAAACGAUGAAUACUCGCUGUUUGCGAUAUACAUGCAAGCGGCCAAGCGAAAGCGUUAAGUAUUCCACCUGGGGAGUACGCCGGCAACGGUGAAACUCAAAGGAAUUGACGGGGGCCCGCACAAGCGGAGGAACAUGUGGUUUAAUUCGAUGAUACGCGAGGAACCUUACCCGGGCUUAAAUUGCAGAUGAAUUACGGUGAAAGCCGUAAGCCGCAAGGCAUCUGUGAAGGUGCUGCAUGGUUGUCGUCAGCUCGUGCCGUGAGGUGUCGGCUUAAGUGCCAUAACGAGCGCAACCCUUGUUGUCAGUUACUAACAGGUUCCGCUGAGGACUCUGACAAGACUGCCAUCGUAAGAUGUGAGGAAGGUGGGGAUGACGUCAA